rnacentral:rRNA from 1 species
AAAAACAUCGCCUUCUGCAGAAAAUAGAAGGUCUAGCCUGCCCAGUGACCAAGUUAAACGGCCGCGGUACCCUAACCGUGCGAAGGUAGCGCAAUCACUUGUUCUUUAAAUGAGGACUAGUAUGAACGGCAUCACGAGGGUUACACUGUCUCCCACCUCUAAUCAGUGAAACUGAUUCCCCCGUGAAGAAGCGGGGAUAAACUUAUAAGACGAGAAGACCCCAUGGAGCUUUAAACUCAGUACCAAUCACCUAUUACUACACCACAAUAACCCGGUGGUUCUGACUACUGGUUUUAGGUUGGGGUGACCACGGAGCAUAAUAAAACCUCCAUGUUGAAAAACUUCCUUAAUCCAAGAGUGACAACUCUAAGAAUCAAAAAUUGACAUACAUUGACCCAAAUAUUUUGAUCAACGAACCAAGUUACCCUGGGGAUAACAGCGCAAUCCAUUUCAAGAGCUCCUAUCGACAAAUGGGUUUACGACCUCGAUGUUGGAUCAGGGUAUCCCAGUGGUGCAGCCGCUACUAAAGGUUCGUUUGUUCAACGAUUAAAACCCUACGUGAUCUGAG